CAAGAGGGUGGCAUCUCUUUUUAAACCGUGACAUUUUGACAAACAAUGAUGCUUUGUGUUAUCCUUUAAUAAGAAGAAAUGUGAGCAGAAUUGUUUCAGGCAAUCUGAAAAGCAGCUUGGGAGGGAAGACUGCUGUGUACUAUUCCCAGAUCAGUCAUUUACUUGCUCCAUAUAUUUGGAUAAGAUACUUAGUCCUUAUCUACAUGCCAAGGUUGUACUGCUUUAACUGUACCAGUUCAGUAAAGCCGUGCAAACUAGUAUUAACACAACUAUAUUGGUAUUAAAGUACUUUUAUCAGAAUAAUACAUUCAUGUUGGGCAAAGGGAAUAAUCUUGCCUGUAUAAUGUACCUUUGUACCAUUAUAACUGCUGGCACAGUGGGCAAUGGACUGUUAUAACACCAAGAUAAAAUGAUUUCAGCCCUCACAAAAAUACUUAUGGAUAGUGCUAGUAUUGUGCAUAAACCACCUCUGGUGUCUCAGCUUCCCCAGAUGUAAAAGACUUGUCGUUCAUACCUUGCAGGGCUGUUGAGCCUUAAUUCAUGUCAGUAACAGGGCUUCACAAAGCCUGUGUGAAAGGUGCCAAGCUUCUUUUUAGCUACUCACUUUUUUCUUUUUUUCUUUUUCAGUUUCUAAAAAGUGUUUGCAAAAGGUAGCUGUGCCUCAGAACAUGCAAUGGCAGAGGAGUUUAGCUGGGUUUGCUUCCUUUUUAUGUUCACUGCCCAUUGUGAAGCCACGGAGCAGGAUGCUUUGCAGCAGGCUUCCUAUUGCAUCUUGCAGCCCAGACAGGAGUUCAGCUGCUCAGCUCCGCAUUGAUUCAGUCAUGUAGUACAGUGAGACUCAGAGCCAACAUUAAUGAGAAAAGCCUGGAUAUACAAAGGUAUAAGAUAGAGAUGCCUACCCAGAAUAGGACACACAGGACUGGGACCCUCUAUAUUGUCACACUUUAAAGGCUUAUGCAUAUUUGUUUUCCAAAUAUCCAAGUAGAAUAUAAUCCACAUCACAUAAAAGCUCUUCACCUAUUUUCUUCCAAAAGGUAUAGUGUUUAAGACUUUCUACCCUUCAAGUGAUACCCUGCAUCCAGGGAGUCUGUUAAGCUGGAGGAAAAGCAAGACCUUAGAGGGGCCCACUGUGUUUCAAGUGUUGGAGCCUUCCCACCAGGCCUGCUUUCCAAGUUACCUCCAACAGCAUGGAGCUCCAGUCUGAAAGAGCUUUGUUGGUGUUUAGGGAGUGAAUCACAUCUGGCUUGAAUUUAGCAUUUGCUGUUUGUUUGCACUCCAAAGGCUGUUUAAUUUAUGCAGCCUACAUGUGUAAGUGUAUGUGUGUAUGUAUUAAGUAAGACAGCUGGUUGUAUGCAGGCAAGGCUGACUGUCGUGCCUGAGGCAAGACGCCCAUGUUGCAUUAUUGCCCUUUACAAUUCUUUGACCUCUGCUUGAUAUACUUUUCCAUAACCCUAGGCAGUGAGCUAUGUGUGUGGGAGCUAUCUCUGUGUUACUGUCUGUUAAAUGAGGCCUUCCUUAUGGAAUACAGCUUCUGAACAUCACCACUAGACAAAUACCACCAAGCAAGGUGGCCAGCAUCUAUCUUAUCUAGUCCACCACAGGCAGGGUGGGUAUUUCCUGAUCCAGGGGAAGCUGGCCUGCGAUGGGAAUAAAAAACUGCUCCGUUAGAAAAGAAGUACUGAC
ensembl:lncRNA